rnacentral:rRNA from 1 species
AACGAACGCUGGCGGCAUGCCUAACACAUGCAAGUCGAGGGGUAGCAGGAUUAAGCUUGCUUAAUUGCUGACGACCGGCGCACGGGUGCGUAACGCAUAUGCAACCUACCUUAUACUGGGGUAUAGCCCGGAGAAAUUCGGAUUAAUCCCCCAUAGUACUAAUGAAUCGCAUGGUUUAUUAGUUAAAGCAUUGCGGUAUAAGAUGGGCAUGCGUCCUAUUAGCUAGAUGGUGAGGUAACGGCUCACCAUGGCUACGAUAGGUAGGGGGCCUGAGAUGGUGGUUCCCCACACUGGUACUGAGACACGGACCAGACUCCUACGGGAGGCAGCAGUGAGGAAUAUUGGUCAAUGGGCGCAAGCCUGAACCAGCCAUGCCGCGUGCAGGAAGAAUGCCCUAUGGGUUGUAAACUGCUUUUAUUUGGGAAUAAACCUCUUUACGUGUAGAGAGCUGAAGGUACCAAAUGAAUAAGCACCGGCUAACUCCGUGCCAGCCGCCGCGGUAA